CCUGCCCCUCAUCAUGGCCCCGCGGCAGGAGUCCCUGCGUGGCAGUGAGCCAUCUCGGGCCGUGGGGAUGAGGGGGAUGCCCUGGGGAUGAGGGGGAUGCCCUAGGGAUGCGGGAGCCUGGCGCCUGACCACCGCGGCGUGGAGCUGCCCUGCCGCACCCGCGAGAAACUCCCACGGUGUUCACGCCACUGCUGUUUUGCGUCUCUGGCAAAGGCCAAACUUGCUGAUUAUACCAGUUAAUUUGGGUGGUCAGAGAAAGAAUCCAGAGAAUUCUCCUCAAAAAGAACCAUGCCCUUCAGGAGAAUCAAGUGAAGGCAAGAAGAGAGACCCUGGGAACACCGGACAGGAAAACAUCGAGUCUAAACUCUGCCGAUGUGGAAGUGACCUUCUUGAAGUUCUAGCUCCAGCAGACUGGGCGUUCUGUGAUCAACAGUCACCAAGAGCCUGAGCCCCAGAAGGACAGGCCCUUUCUUCACGCCUCAGCUCCUAGAAGACAGCCUGACCCAGAGCGGAUGCCCCAUGCAGACCAGUCCCUGUGGAGUCUACUUCUCCAGACCUGCACCAUCUCCGAGGCUGACGAAACGCUACCAGCUAGAUGCGGCCAAGGCCUCCCCCUCCGGACAGAUGAUUAGCUCUCCUUCAGGAUUCACUGGCCUGGUCUACCCUCCCUCCUCCCUGAUCAAGGAAGGUUCCUGUCUCCUGUACCCCCUUCCUGCCUCUGUCUCCUCCUCAGCCACAUUCUCACUCAAAAUGGACCACCUCGAGAGAUGAAGCUCAACAGCUCCAAAGAAGUCUACUUGGCAAACAGGUCUGGAGUCCUCCCGCUCAUAUUCAUUUUAAUGAUGAUGAUGACAAUAAAAUAGCUAUCAUUUCUUGAGCAAUUACCACACACUAGGCACUACUGUAAAACACAGGGUCUCACUCAACCCCCAAAGCCCGAUUCAGUAG